rnacentral:rRNA from 1 species
CAAUAGCGUAUAUUUAAGUUGUUGCAGUUAAAAAGCUCGUAGUUGGAUUUUGGGUCGGGGGCACCGGUCCGCCGUUCCGGUGUGCACUGGUGGCCCCUUCCUUUCUGCCGGGGACGUGUGUCGCACUUAAUUGGGUGGCGUUCGGAGUCGGCGUUGUUACUUUGAAAAAAUUAGAGUGUUCAAAGCAAGCCAUCGCUCUGAAUACAUUAGCAUGGAAUAACAUGAUAGGACUCCGGUCUUAUUUUGUUGGUUUCCGAGACUGGAGUAAUGAUUAAGAGGGACAGUCGGGGGCAUCCGUAUUUCAUUGUCAGAGGUGAAAUUCUUGGAUUUAUGAAAGACGAACUUCUGCGAAAGCAUUUGCCAAGGAUGUUUUCAUUAA